rnacentral:tRNA from 1 species
GCGCUCGUAGCUCAGUGGAUAGAGCACCGGCCUCCGGAGCCGGGUGUCGCGCGUUCGAAUCGCGCCGAGCGCGCCA